AACGAACGCUGGCGGCAUGCCUAACACAUGCAAGUCGAACGAAGCCUUCGGGCUUAGUGGCGCACGGGUGCGUAACGCGUGGGAAUCUGCCCUUGGGUUCGGAAUAACAGUUAGAAAUGACUGCUAAUACCGAAUGAUGUCUUCGGACCAAAGAUUUAUCGCCCAAGGAUGAGCCUGCGUCGGAUUAGCUGGUUGGUGAGGUAAAGGCUCACCAAGGCGACGAUCCGUAGCUGGUCUGAGAGGAUGAUCAGCCACACUGGGACUGAGACACGGCCCAGACUCCUACGGGAGGCAGCAGUGGGGAAUAUUGGACAAUGGGCGAAAGCCUGAUCCAGCAAUGCCGCGUGAGUGAUGAAGGCCUUAGGGUUGUAAAGGCUCUUUACCCGGGAUGAUAAUGACAGUACCGGGAGAAUAAGCUCCGGCUAACUCCGUGCCAGCAGCCGCGGUAAU
rnacentral:rRNA from 1 species